rnacentral:rRNA from 1 species
AUACGGAGGGGGUUAGCGUUACUCGGAAUCACUGGGCGUAAAGCGCGCGCAGGCGGUUUGAUAAGUUGGAUGUGAAAUCCUAUGGCUCAACCAUAGAACUGCAUCCAAAACUGUCAAGCUAGAGUCUGGGAGGGGAAGAUGGAAUUAGUUGUGUAGGGGUAAAAUCCGUAGAGAUACCUAGGAAUACCAAAAGCGAAGGCGAUCUUCUGGAACAGUACUGACGCUGAGGCGCGAAAGCGUGGGGAGCAAACAGGAUUAGAAACCCCUGUAGUCC